rnacentral:rRNA from 1 species
UACAGAGGUCUCAAGCGUUGUUCGGAUUCAUUGGGCGUAAAGGGUGCGUAGGUGGCGUGGUAAGUCGGGUGUGAAAUUUCGGAGCUUAACUCCGAAACUGCAUUCGAUACUGCUGUGCUUGAGGACUGGAGAGGAGACUGGAAUUUACGGUGUAGCAGUGAAAUGCGUAGAGAUCGUAAGGAAGACCAGUGGCGAAGGCGGGUCUCUGGACCAGCACUGACACUGAGGCACGAAAGCGUGGGGAGCAAACAGG